rnacentral:rRNA from 1 species
CAGAGGGGGCAAGCGUUAUUCGGAAUUAUUGGGCGUAAAGGGCGCGUAGGCGGCUUUUCAAGUGACGGGUGAAAUCCCUCGGCUUAACCGAGGAACUGCCUGUCAGACUGAAUAGCUUGAGACCGGGAGAGGUGAGUGGAAUUCCCAGUGUAGCGGUGAAAUGCGUAGAUAUUGGGAGGAACACCAGUGGCGAAGGCGGCUCACUGGACCGGUACUGACGCUGAGGCGCGAAAGCGUGGGGAGCAAACAGGAUUAGAUACCCUGGUAGUCCACGCCGUAAACGAUGAGUGCUUGGUGUAGCGGGUAUCGACCCCUGCUGUGCCGAAGUCAACACAUUAAGCACUCCGGCCUGGGGAGUACGGUCGCAAGACUGA